UUCUAUUCCUGCUUCGUGACGUCACAGUCUCGCGAGAUGAGAUUUGGAAGGUGUAGAUGAGCUGUCCGGAAGAAGUCAAGGAACUGGUCCUUAUCGUCGUUGUAGGGGAUUUAAACACCUAUCAGGAACUGCUGGUUAAGUCACGAAAAGCUGAACUGUUCUGCAAAAAAGCGUCACUGUUUGGCGAUUGAGCUGCUUUUACUUAUUCUCACUGGACAAUGUUUAAGAAACUGAAACAGAAGAUCAGCGAAGAGCAGUCCCCUUCCAAAAGCCCCCUUGCUCCACAGCAGCAGGGUCGUCCAAGAAGCACAUCAACAGGCAACAGAAGUCGGACUUCGUCAGUAACAGAACAGCAGGAUGACAGCCUGGCAACAGCAGAUAGAGAGAACGGAUCAUUGUCGGACAAUAUUAAUGGAAAUGAUCCCACUUCUUCUCAGAGGAAUGAACCUCAGUCUUUUGCACAUAAGCUACAAAUGCGGGUUCCUUCAAUGGAAUCACUGUUUCGAAGCCCCAUUAAAGAAUCACUUUUUCCUUCUUCAACUAAAGAAAAUCUUUUGCGGAGUAGUUCACGGGAUUCCCUGAAUAAAAUUGAUAUGGAGAAUCCAAGUACUGUAUUUGAUCCCCCAUCCGAUAUUGAAAGUGAAGCUGAGGAUUCUGUGGGAAGUAUAGAAGGACUUAACAAAGAACAGCUGUUUAAUCGACUACAUAGAAUGGAUAAAAGUUUAGGAAACUACAGAGGAAAAUAUUCUGAGCUUGUAACAGCCUACAGAACAAUGCAGAGAGACAAAGAGAAACUACAGUCCAUCUUGAGUCAGAGCCAGGACAAAGCACUAAGGAGAAUUGGAGAGCUGCGAGAGGAGCUUCAAAUGGAUCAACAGGCUAAAAAGCAUCUACAGGAAGAGUUUGAUGCAUCUCUGGAAGAGAAAGAUCAACUUAUCAGUGUUCUGCAAACACAGGUUAGUUUACUUAAAAACAGACUUCAGAAUGGACAAAGCAGUACUGAAUUACCAGAAAGCACAGCCUCGCCAGAACUUGACUCUGAGAGUUCCUUGCAAGAGGUGGAUACAGAUAACCGUUCCACCCCUGAUGAUGGGAAUGCUGCAAACACUUUAAAUGCUCUCCAGGUUAGAGUAAAACGUCAAGAGAACCUUUUGCAAAGGUGUAAGAAAUCAAUCAAGUCGCACAAGGAACAGUGUGCUCACCUCAGUAGUGAAAAUGAAGCUCUUCAAAACCAACUAGAUGAAAGACUCCAGGAACUUGAGAAAAUUAAAGAACUUCACACUAGUGAGAAGAGCAAGCUGAUUACCCAGCUUAGAGAUGCCAAGAAUUCAAUUGAACAGCUGGAACAAGAUAAGGGUAUGAUGAUUGCAGAAACAAAACGGCAGAUGCAUGAGACAUUAGAACUGAAGGAAGAAGAGGUUUCUCAGCUUCGGUCAAGGGUCAAGAAAUUAAGUUCACAUUGUGAGGAACUGCAGCAACAGAAAGAAAAGUUAGAGAAAGCUGCAUUUGAAGAUGUAGAAAAAAUAUCUUCACAGAAAGCUGAGGAUGCUUUUGAAAAGCUGCAGAUGGAAGAGCAAAUUAAAGCUAUAGAAAAGGCCAGUGAGGAGGAGCGUGUCAAUCUUCAGAAGGAAUUAAGUCGUGUGAAGCAAGAGGUGGUGGACAUUAUGAAGAAAUCCUGUGAUAGUCGUAUUAGUGAGAUUGAGAAAGUUCAUGCAGAAGCCUUGCUGAAUAAGGAACAGGAGUAUAAUGAACAGAUUCGCCUGAAGGAACAAGAAUUCCAGGAUCAAAUGAAUGCUGUCAAAAAGAAUGAGGAUGAGACAUUAAAUUUGCUACAAGAUAAAGAAAAGAGUUUAAUGGCACUGGAAGAGCUCGAGCGACAGAAAAAGACUAUUGAGUCCAGAGCAGCAGAACAACUUAAAGAAAUGCAACAAGAAGUUGAAAAUUGCAGAAUGAGGAUUCUUGACCUUGAGAGUUCUGUUGCUGAAGAAAGUAAGUCCCAAGAUUUUGUAAGCCUGAUUGAAACAGAGAGAAAUAAUCACAAUGCAGAAGUAGCUACCAUCAAAGAAAUGCAUAAGCAAGAUCUUGAUGUCCUUGUACAGGAUCAAGAAAGGAUAUGGUCAGAAAAGCUUGAGCUGCUUAAGAAAGAGAAUCAUACUAAGAUUAUUGAACUUAAAGAGAAGUAUCAGCGAGAUUAUGAUUCUCACUUGAAAGAGAAAGAGCAUAAUUUCCAGGAGCAUAUUGAGCAUAUGAAUGAAAAAACAUUAGAAAAACUAGAUGUAAAACAAACUGAAUUGGAAACCCUCUCAGCUGAACUGUCUGAGGCUAUAAAGGCACGGCAAGAGAUUGAGCAGAAACUUACAGACACAGAAAAUGAGAUUAGCAAAAUAAAACUAGAGUAUGAAGCCCAGAUAAAAGAAGAAAGAGAAAAACACAGUGAAGAAAUUGGUUCCAUUGAAAGAGAGAAGGAAAUGCAUACUCAGGGUGUUGAGAAAGACUUGAAGGAAAAUAUUAACAACCUAAAACUACUUCAAGAUAGUAAAGAAUGUGAGUUGGAAGAAUUCAGAAAGGAAAAUCAAAAGCUAAAAGAAGCUGCUGAAAAGGCAGAAGCAGACCAUAAAGAAGCAUUUGCUCUAUUGGAAGCAGCCAGGCAUUCUCAUGAGAUAAAUACACAUGAGAAAGAACAGGCUUAUGAGCUAAAAUUGAAGGAGCUUCAGGAGAUGCUAAAAGGUAUGACGCAGGAGCGAAACGAUCUUAAAGAGGUGACAGAAAAAGCAGAAACACAGUUAAAGAAUAUGCAGAUCGAGCUGGAUUCUAACAAGGCCCAAGUACAAAGCCUUACAAAGCAAAUUCAUGAGGAAAGUAUGAAUAUGGCAGAUAAACUUAACACUUUGGUACUAGAGUCUGAAACUCAGGUAAAAGGGUUGAAGGAACAAAUAGAAGAGAUAAGCAGAAUAGCUUCAGAGCGUGAACAUGAACUUAAAAAAGUAAAAGAAGAUCAUAUUCAAAUUAUUUUAGACCUAAACAAUACUAUAUCUGAAAAAGAGAAGAAUAUACUUUCUUUGCAAGAAGAUUACAAAGUAAAACACAAAAAUCUGGAUGCUAAAAUGGAAAAAUUAAAGCAGAAGUUUAAAGAGCUGCAAGAAUCAUCUAAAAAGAAAUAUUCAGAGUUGGAAAGCAAACUUAAGAAAGAGAUCGAGAAGAAGCAGAACGAGUUGAUUAACAAAGAAAGGGAGUUUAAUGAAAAAAUACAUGAGAUGGCCCAAGCAAGUUCAACUGGAAUUAAUCAUGCAAUGGCUCAGCUUGAACUGAAUCAUAAAGAGCAGAUUCAGAAUAUGACAGACAAUCAUCAGAGAGAAUUACAGGAAACAACAGAAGCUUGUGAAAAGAAAUUAAGCCAACUUGCUGAAGACCUUAGAGAGAAGCACGAAGAAGAACUUCAGGAGAAAGAUCAGGUCAUAGCAGAAUCAAGAAAACAGUUUAAUAUCAAGAAUAAAGAAAAAGAAGAUGCAGACAAAGAGAUAUCAGACCUCAGGGAACUGAAGACCCAAAUGGAUGCCACGUUUAAUGAUUUGCAAGAACAGCUGUGUCAGUCAGCAGCUCAAGUUUUACAUUUGACACAGAGUGAAAAUGAAUUCAAGACAAAUUGUACUCGGCUAACAACGGAGAAGCAAAUUCUUCAACAACAGCUUGAUGAACUGAAAAUAUUAGCAGAGGAAGAUAAAAGCAAGAAUGAUGAAAUAGUUAACAAGGUGAGACUUGCUGAAGAAAAGUAUCAAGACUUGGAGACCCUGCACAAUAAAGUGAGAGCAGACUUUGCUAAGGAACUGCAGGAUAAACUUGUUGAAAAGGAAAAUGAGUUUAAACACCUUUUGGUUAAACAAGAAAACCAGUUGAUCUUGUGCUGCAAAAAUGCUGAAGAUUUAUUUGAAACACUUGCAAAUGGACUCACUGAAAACCACAAAUAUAAGUUGAAUGGAUUGAUUGUUAAAAUAGCAAAUCUUGAAAGCUGCAUGCAUAAACUAAAAGAGGUCACUUUAAAACAGCGUAGUAGAAUAUAUGAACAAGAAAAACAACUUGAGCAGUUUUCAAACGAACUUCUUUCAGUAAACCAAUCUCUUAAUCAAGCAACUCAGGAGAAAGAAUUUGCUACUUUGUCGCUAAAGAAUGAGAUUGAAGCUCUUAAUUUUCAAAAUGAGAUGUUAAAAAAAGAAGGAGGAAGUCAACAGCAGGUUGCAGAUGAGAAAGAAUCUUGCAUUACUCAGCUGAAAAAAGAACUUUCAGAGAAUAUAAAUAUUGUGACUUCCUUGACAGAAGUGGUAAAACAGAAAGAAUCUGAGGUAUCUUCUCUUUCUGCCUUAAUUAAUGAACUUAAACUGAAACAUGAGAAUUGUGUAGAUUUAACAGAAAAAGAAAAUGCAAUUGCUUUUCUCACUGCACAGCAGAAACAGAGUCAGCAAGAGCUACAGAAUCAAAUUCAGGAUCUAAUGGCAAAGAUUGAGGUUCUGAAUAAAGAAAAAUCUGCACAAAUAGAUGAGGCUGCUAAACUUAAAAAUAAGUUGGAUGAAUGGAAGAAAAAGGCAGAACUUAAAUUUGUGCAGAACCACAACACUAUUAAAGAGCUAAAAGAGAAAGUUGAAUCAGUCAAUAAGCAAAUUGUUGAAAAAGAUGAAAAACUUAGGACAGUGACAGAAGAAUUUGAAUGUCAUCGUAGCAAUAUCCAAGAAACACAACUCAUGAGUGAAAGCAAAGAAUUUGAAUUAACUACCCAGUUGGAAGGCCAGAAAUCUAAAAUUUCGGAAUUGGAGGACCAGUGUUCGAAGCUGAUGUCUGAAAAGAAAAGUUUGAUGGAUCAAAUCGAAAUUCAAACUAUUCAGCAGAGUGAAGAUAAGAAAGCACUGGUUGAGCAACUCCAGCAUAUUCAGUAUGCUUCUGACAAUAACUCCAAGGAAGUGCAAAAUAAAGUUAUAACACUUGAAAAAGAAAUUGAUGCUUUAAAGGAGAAACUUGAUGCAGAGCAAACAAAAUGGCAGCUGGAGAAAGCAGAGUGCUUUCAGCUGAAAGAUAAGGAAUUAAAAAUAUUGGAAGAGAAACUAACUGCAGAAAGCACAAAUAAACUUUCAGAGCUCAAGAAAAAAGCUGAACAGAAAAUCGCUUCUCUUAAGAAACAACUUAUGUCUCAGAUAGAUGAGAAGGAGCAGUCCAGGAAAGCGCUGGAAAGCCAGCUAAAUGUCUUAAAAGAUAAUAUGCAGAAAGAGAGCCAGGAAGUGCAGGAAGGAUUGCAACAAAAAGUUGAAAAUCAAGACAAAAAAUAUGCAUUGCUACUGGAGCAGAAGAAAAAUACAGAAGCAGAUUUAGCUAAUAUUAGAAGUGAACUAAAAUUAAAGGAACUAAGAGUUAAAGAAAUGGAAGAUAUUCUUAAAGAUGUCCAGCAAAAACAUUCUGAAAGAGAGCUGACCGACAGUGAGAAAGAACAAGCACUUUUAAAAGAACUAGAGUCACAGAUGCUGACAAAUAAUCAGCUGGUUUCUACUCAUGAAAAAGCUUUAAGAGCCCUGCAAGAUGACCUCAAUGUCAAGGAUGCAGAGAUAAAGACCUUUAAAGAGGAAAUAGAUGAGAAAUCCAAAUCCUUAAAUGAACUCCAAGUGCUUUUUGAGGAGACUCAGUCUCAAGAGAGCGCAAUGAGAAUAAAACUUGAGGAAAUGGAGAGUGAGAAGCUAAAAUUCAAGAAUGAAAUAACUAAGCUACAGAAAGAUAUGCGCUCUUUACGUAAGGAACACAGCCAAGAACUAGAUUUGCUUAAAAAGGAGAUAACCGAGGAAGCCGAACAAAGAAUCAAAUACGAACAGGAAGACUCGGAACUUAAGCAUAAUUCUAAAUUAAAGCAACUCAUGAGAGAAUUCAAUACCCAGAUGGCUCAAAAGGAGCGUGAGGUUGAAACAGCUGUUCAGGAGACUAUUGCUAAAGCUCAGGAGGUUGAGGCUGAAUUAAUGCGAUCACAACAGAUAGAAGCAGUCCAUCUUCAUAAAAAGAUUGCUGAGAAAGAAGAUGACCUAAAGAGAACUGUAAAAAGAUAUGAAGAACUUUUAGAGGCCCGAGAAGAGGAAAUGACAGCAAAAGUGACAGAGUUACAAGAGCAACUUGAAAGAUUACAGGAACAAUUAACUCAGAAGGAAAUGCAAAAUGAAGAAGAAGAAAAUGUGGAGGAGGCAACAUCUCCUGAGGUUUUUCAGGCGCAGCUGGCACAGAAAACAUCGCAGGUCAAUGAAUACAAACUGAAGGAGCAGGAACUUAAGGAGAAGGUUCACAUCCUAGAAGACCAGGUGAAAAACUUUACUCGUGGUGUAUUUUAUACUCCUAUUGGCACACCGUAUAAAGAAGUUAAUAAUCAACAUGCAGGGGUUUCUGUUUUUGGCGAACCCACUGAAUUUGAGUACUUAAGAAAGGUGAUGUUUGAGUACAUGAUGGGGCGUGAAACAAAGACAAUGGCAAAGGUAAUAACAACUGUGCUGAGGUUCCCAACAGAUCAAGCUCAACAAAUUUUGCAACGAGAAGAAACCCGACCACUGGGAUAUUAGGAACAAUAAAGGAGGGAGAGACAAGGAGAUUGAAAUUGAGAAAGAAAGAGAAAUGGCAAAUUAAUGGCGACCUCAGGAAAUGGUGAUAACAAGGACAAAAGAGAAAGCAAAAAUAGAACCUCGCAGUGGUAUGUUCUGAAUCAGUAUGGGCGUAGUUAGCAUGUGGUCUUGGCUUCUAUCUUCCUCCUGAAGACCACUUCAGAAAUGGACGACUUAUUGAAAAUCAAAUUCUAACCAAGAACUGACAAUUUAUUCACCUUGCCACUAAACGGUUGUCUGAAUUUUUCCUAUUGUAUUAUAUUUACAUUAAAUUCAUAAAUAACCAUUUGAGUAAUAAAGUGGAAGCCAAAGGAUUAUCAAGCUCUGUUAAACUGUAUACUGUAAUAAUUGUCAGCAUUUGGCAUAAGAAUACCACACCCAGUGUGCAAUAGGGUCACUUCAUGUGUCUCUUGCUUAUGAUAGUGUAAAAACGUAAAGGUUCAUAAUGACUAAAUUUAAGCUUAAUUAGUAUAUUCAGUUUAUUACAUGCUCUGAUUGGGUAAAAACUGACAGAACUUUGGAAUAACAUGGAAAAAGAAUGACUAAACUGUGUUCCACAGUUUCAUCCACAAUAAAUCUGCCCAAAAGUUUUGAAGUCUUUACUAAUAUCCUAGCAUGCACUAGGGAGAGGUGAUGGCAGAAAUAUUAUGUAAACUAACACGCAGAAGGUAUUUUCUGGAAUAAGAGUGGCUGGAACCAGGAAGCACAACAUGAAACUGAAGAUAGGUAAGCAGAAAACUAACAUAAUAUUACUAAGUGAUACGUAAUAUCAAAGAAGGCUUAGCUUGGAUCCACAAAUACCAAACUGCUACUUGGCUUGUAGCAAAUGUCAAUGUUAACUAUAUGAGAAUAUUAUGUUUGUUUUCUCCUAUUUCACCUUUCACCUUUAUUGUCUUCGGCUAAUGGCAGACGUGGCUGAAUACUGAUGGCAGCCAGAUACUGCUUCCUGUCACCACACACACGGGGUGGAUUAACCUAAUCUAUGCCAGAUCCACCCUGUGUGAUUAAUGACAGGCAAAUGUAACUCUGAUGUUGGAGGAUAUACCAUCCCAGCCAUUACCCUUAGACCUACUUUCUUUCAUUGCUGCUGCAGUGACCGGUGAGUGUCUUGGCACAGAUUUUUUUGCCUGAACUCCUUGCUCAGGAUUGAUAAGUGCAAGCAUGUGUGCCCUGGUGUCCACACAUGAAAACUUUCUUGGUGACAGUAGUCAUCCCACUAAUUGAACCUGCAUGCUACAGCUCGUUUCUUCAUAACAUUAUGUAUAAAGAGCUGCAUGGCAGUAUGUGGGCAGGCCCCACAAUAGAAAAUGCAGCAGACAGGUACUUUAUGGUAACACUAAUCAGUAAUACUGUAUAAUCACUUCAGUGUGCCUUGUAAAAUCUUUUUACUAAAUCCGUGCUUUUUAUGACAUUUUCCCAUUUUAAAUGCAGUGCAUCUCCAAAUAGAUAAUUACUAUCAAGAUUGCCAAGUUUCAUCCUGUACACUUAUGCUACAGAAAUAUUCAAUUUAUUAAGAUUUUGCUCCAGUGUGAGUGUUUUACUUCUUCACUAAUGCAGGGUGAUCCUUCAAAGUGAUUUAAAUGAUAAAGCAGACACCACAUUAUAUAUGGUGGCCAGAGGCCGGCUAAUCAUUGGGUUAUCCACCCAAUUCCUGUUAGUGCCGUCAUACUAAGAAGGUACACUGGCAGACUAUAUUUUCGUAAAUGUUUGGCCAGCUUUGAAACACUACAUUUUGAUUGAGCAUUUUAGCGAACAGACUGCACCAACAGUCUUUAAUUCUCUUUGUUUGCAGUUAACAAACUAUUUAUUUUAAUUUUCCCUUUUUUUUUUUUUUUAAAUAAUGUAAAAGUUAAAACACCACUUACUGCAAAGAAGAAAGUAGCAAAAGUACAAUUUAGUUAUCAUCCUUAAAUGUUUUAUAAUGAUUCAUCUAAGAAAGUGAGUUUUAAUGGCUGAAGUGUUUUACGCUACUCUAUUCUAUAAUUUUAAAUAUUAUUUUAUUACAUUUCUUUUUUAAAUUCAGUGGUUGCGUAUUUUUUUAAAAUUGUGCAAUAUUGGCAUUUUCAGUUAAUGACGGUUUUAUGGCAUAGCUUAAGCCCCUCUGCUUACUUUGUAAUGUUUAAUUCUGUUUGCCGUGGGGAAGCGUUUAUUAUGCUUUCAUCUAUGAUGGAAGGCUACAUUUUUAUCUCUUUACCUGCAUUUAGCUUUUGUAUUAAUAUUUUUCAGAGAUUAAAUAAACUACGGUGUAUUGUAAAUAGUUAAUACUUCAGUGUACCAUAAUAUGGUUUUGUGACGGUUACAAUGUUAAUUCUGGGAAGAGCACAGGAAAUAAAAUUUUAUUUAAUAAAAAUGACGGUUUACUCUGUG